rnacentral:rRNA from 1 species
UACAGAGGUGGCAAGCGUUGUUCGGAAUUAUUGGGCGUAAAGAGCUCGUAGGCGGUCCGUCACGUCCGCUGUGAAAACCCAGGGCUCAACCCUGGGCUUGCAGUGGAUACGGGCAGACUAGAGGUAGGUAGGGGAGAAUGGAAUUCCCGGUGUAGCGGUGAAAUGCGCAGAUAUCGGGAGGAACACCGGUGGCGAAGGCGGUUCUCUGGGCCUUACCUGACGCUGAGGAGCGAAAGCGUGGGGAGCGAACAGG